GCCUGAGUGGUGAAACUGGUAUACACGUAACACUUAAAAUGUUAUGGGCGAAAGCUCGUGUGGGUUCGAUUCCCACCUCAGGCA
rnacentral:tRNA from 1 species